rnacentral:lncRNA from 1 species
CUCUAUUAUUAUUUAAGAAUUUAAAACUUAAGUAGUCUUUUUUCUUUUUUGAGACAGAGUCUUGCUCUGUUGCCCAGGCUGGAGUGCAAUGGCGCGAUCUCGGCUCACUGCAACCUCUGCCUCCUGGGUUCAAACAGUUCUUGUGCCUCAGCCUCCCAAGUAGCUCAGACUACAGGUGCUCACUGCCACACCCAGCUAAUUUUUGUAUUUUUAGUGGAGAUGGAGUUUCGUCAUGUUGGCCAGGCUGGUCUUGAACUCCUGACCUCAACCAUGUAUGGUACACUAAGGAUACCAGGUUCAAGAAGAUCCUGGUCCCCAUUGUGGUGUGGUGGUUACAGGGUAUACUCAAUUGGCAACAUUCAACAAAGUGGACCUGGGUCCAAAUCCGUUUUUCCUGUGCUUUGGGGGAAAAUUACCCAUGGCUGUUUCAUUUGCAAAAUAGCAAUAAUGCCCAGGGUUGUUGUGGGGACUAAAUGAAUAAACUGCCAAGUCAUAGUAAACAUUCUCUCUCCCAUGUCACCUCCUCCCAGCAUCCUUUGAUGUCAAGUCCUUGGCCAGGACUGCAAUUACCCAUUAUGACUAACAGUGAAAAAUAUUGGCCCUUUAUGAUUCAUAUUAUGCCAAUAUCCAGUUCACAAAUGCAUUUUAUACUUAAUACGUAUAAUUCUGCAAUCCAUUCAUUCAUUUUCAUUGAACACCUACCAUGUGCCAGGACCUGUGCUAGGCUCUAAAAUUACAGCAAAAGACAGUGUCCGUAUUUAUGGUGCUUACAUUCUACAGGCAGGAGACAAGAAAUAUAUAUAUGUAUGUAUGUAUACACAUAUACAUAUGUUAAAUUAUAACUUUACAUGUAUAUAUCAGGUGGGUAAAACUUCUUUGAAGAAAAAGUGAGAUUAGCUCCCUCUCCCUCUCCCCACAGUCUCCCUCUCCCCACGGUCUCCCUCUCCCUCUCUCUCUCUUUCCACGGUCUCCCUCUGAUGCCGAGCCGAAGCUGGACUGUACUGCUGCCAUCUCGGCUCACUGCAACCUCCCUGCCUGAUUCUCCUGCCUCAGCCUGCCCAGUGCCUACGAUUGCAGGCGCGCGCUGCCACGCCUGACUGGUUUUCGUAUUUUUUUGGUGGAGACGGGGUUUCGCUGUGUUGGCUGGGCUGGUCUCCAGCUCCUAGCCGCGAGUGAUCCGCCAGCCUCGGCCUCCGGAGGUGCCGGGAUUGCAGACGGUGUCUGGUUCACUCAGUGCUCAAUGGUGCCCAGGCGGGAGUGCAGUGGCGUGAUCUCCACUCGCUACAACCUCCACCUCCCAGCCGCCUGCCUUGGCCUCCCAAAGUGCCGAGAUUGCAGCCUCUGCCCGGCCGCCACCCCGUCUGGGAAGUGAGGAGCGUCUCUGCCUGGCCGCCUAUUGUCUGGGACGUGAGGAGCCCCUCUGCCUGGCUGCCCAGUCUGGAAAGUGAGGAGUGUCUCUGCCCGGCCGCCCAUCGUCUGAGAUGUGGGGAGCGCCUUUGCCCCACCGCCCCGUCUGGGAUGUGAGGAGCGCCUCUGCCCGGCCGCGACCCCGUCUGGGAGGUGAGGAGCGUCUCUGCCCAGCCGCCCCGUCUGAGAAGGGAGGAGACCCUCCGCCUGGCAACUGCCCCGUCUGAGAAGUGAGGAGCCCCUCCGCCCGGCAGCCGCCCCGUCUGAGAAGUGAGGAGCCCCUCCACCCGGCAGCCACCCCGUCUGGGAAGUGAGGAGCGUCUCCGCCCGGCAGCCACCCCGUCCGGGAGGGAGGUGAGGGGGUCAGCUCCCCACCCGGCCAGCAGCCCCGUCCGGGAGGGAGGUGGGGGGGUCAGCCCCCCGCCCGGCCAGCCGCCCAGUCCGGGAGGGAGGUGGGGGGGUCAGCCCCCCGCCCGGCCAGCCGCCCCGUCUGGGAGGGAGGUGGUGGGGGUCAGCCCCCCGCCUGGCCAGCCGCCUCGUCCGGGAGGUGAGGGGCGCCUCU